UGCCCCUUGGCCCAGUUGGUGAAGGCGCACGACUGUUAUAAACACGUCGUCUAUAUCACAUCGUGAGAUCGCAAGUUCGAACCUUGCAGGGGCAG